rnacentral:rRNA from 1 species
CCUACGGGGGGCAGCAGUGAGGAAUAUUGGUCAAUGGACGAGAGUCUGAACCAGCCAAGUAGCGUGAAGGAUGACUGCCCUAUGGGUUGUAAACUUCUUUUAUAUGGGAAUAAAAUGUUCCACGUGUGGGAUUUUGUAUGUACCAUAUGAAUAAGGAUCGGCUAACUCCGUGCCAGCAGCCGCGGUAAUACGGAGGAUCCGAGCGUUAUCCGGAUUUAUUGGGUUUAAAGGGAGCGUAGGUGGAUUGUUAAGUCAGUUGUGAAAGUUUGCGGCUCAACCGUAAAAUUGCAGUUGAAACUGGCAGUCUUGAGUACAGUAAAGGUGGGCGGAAUUCGUGGUGUAGCGGUGAAAUGCUUAGAUAUCACGAAGAACUCCGAUUGCGAAGGCAGUUCACUGGACUGCAACUGACACUGAGGCUCGAAAGUGUGGGUAUCAAACAGGAUUAGAUACCCGAGUAGUC